rnacentral:tRNA from 1 species
CGGCGGGCAGGCGCUGGAUACGUGGUGCUCGAUGCUGAUCGGGCAAAUGCGCGACCUGAUGGUUGUGCGCGUCUGCGGUUCGGAGACCGAUCUCGCCGAC